rnacentral:rRNA from 1 species
GCAACUGCCGUGCCAGCGGGCGUGGUAUGAGGGAUGAUGGAAUCGUGAUACGUAUUUAGUGGGUUUAAAGGGUGCGUAGGCGGGAAUGUAAGUCAGUGGUGAAAUCUUCCGGCUUAACUGGGAAACUGCCAUUGAUACUGCUUUCCUUGAGUGCAGCUGAGGUGGGCGGAAUGUGUAAUGUAGCGGUGAAAUGCUUAGAUAUUACGCAGAACACCUAUUGCGUAGGCAGCUCACUAAACUGUAACUGACGCUGAGGCACGAAAGCGUGGGGAGCGAACAGGAUUAGAUACCCCUGUAGUC